CGGGCCUUGUACACACCGCCCGUCACACCACGAGAGUUUGUAACACCCGAAGUCGGUGAGGUAACCUUUUAGGAGCCAGCCGCCGAAGGUGGGACAGAUGAUUGGGGUGAAGUCGUAACAAGGUAGCCGUAUCGGAAGGUGCGGCUGGAUCACCUCCUUUCUAAGGA
rnacentral:rRNA from 1 species